UACGGAGGAUCCAAGCGUUAUCCGGAAUCAUUGGGUUUAAAGGGUCCGUAGGCGGUUUAAUAAGUCAGUGGUGAAAGCCCAUCGCUCAACGGUGGAACGGCCAUUGAUACUGUUAAACUUGAAUUAUUAGGAAGUAACUAGAAUAUGUAGUGUAGCGGUGAAAUGCUUAGAGAUUACAUGGAAUACCAACUGCGAAGGCAGGUUACUACUAAUGGAUUGACGCUGAUGGACGAAAGCGUGGGUAGCGAAC
rnacentral:rRNA from 1 species